CUGAGUACGGCGGAACACGUGAAAUUCCGUCGGAAUCCGGGAGGACCAUCUCCCAAGGCUAAAUACUCCCUAGUGACCGAUAGUGAACCAGUACCGUGAGGGAAAGGUGAAAAGCACCCCGGAAGGGGAGUGAAACAGUUCCUGAAACCGUGUGCCUACAAGUAGUUAGAGCCCGUUAAUGGGUGAUAGCGUGCCUUUUGUAGAAUGAACCGGCGAGUUACGAUUUGUUGCAAGGUUAAGCGGAAAAAGCGGAGCCGUAGCGAAAGCGAGUCUGAAUAGGGCGCAUAAGUAACAGGUCGUAGACCCGAAACCAGGUGAUCUACCCAUGUCCAGGAUGAAGGUAAGGUAAUACUUACUGGAGGUCCGAACCCACGCACGUUGAAAAGUGCGGGGAUGAGGUGUGGGUAGCGGAGAAAUUCCAAUCGAACUUGGAGAUAGCUGGUUCUCUCCGAAAUAGCUUUAGGGCUAGCCUCGAGGUAAAGAGUCAUGGAGGUAGAGCACUGUUUGGACUAGGGGCCCUUCUCGGGUUACCGAAUUCAGAUAAACUCCGAAUGCCAUGUACUUAUACUCGGGAGUCAGACUGCGAGUGAUAAGAUCCGUAGUCGAAAGGGAAACAGCCCAGACCACCAGUUAAGGUCCCCAAAUAUAUGUUAAGUGGAAAAGGAUGUGGGGUUGCUUAGACAACCAGGAUGUUGGCUUAGAAGCAGCCACCAUUGAAAGAGUGCGUAAUAGCUCACUGGUCGAGUGACCCCGCGCCGAAAAUGUACCGGGGCUAAACAUAUUACCGAAACUGUGGAUGAACCUCUUUAGAGGUUCGUGGUAGGAGAGCGUUCUAAGGGCGGUGAAGUCAGACCGGAAGGACUGGUGGAGCGCUUAGAAGUGAGAAUGCCGGUAUGAGUAGCGAAAGAAGGGUGAGAAUCCCUUCCACCGAAUAUCUAAGGUUUCCUGAGGAAGGCUCGUCCGCUCAGGGUUAGUCGGGACCUAAGCCGAGGCCGAUAGGCGUAGGCGAUGGACAACAGGUAGAGAUUCCUGUACCAGUGCUAAUUGUUUAACCGAUGGGGUGACACAGAAGGAUAGGGAAUCGCACGAAUGGAAAUGUGCGUCCAAGCAGUGAGUGUGAGAAGUAGGCAAAUCCGCUUCUCGCGAAGCAUGAGCUGUGAUGGGGAAGGAAAUUAAGUACGGAAGUUCCUGAUUUCACGCUGUCAAGAAAAGCCUCUAGGAAGAGUAGUACUGCCCGUACCGCAAACCGACACAGGUAGAUGAGGAGAGAAUCCUAAGGUGAGCGAGAGAACUCUCGUUAAGGAACUCGGCAAAAUGACCCCGUAACUUCGGGAGAAGGGGUGCUCUAUUAGGGUGCAAGCCCGAGAGAGCCGCAGUGAAUAGGCCCAGGCGACUGUUUAGCAAAAACACAGGUCUCUGCAAAACCGUAAGGUGACGUAUAGGGGCUGACGCCUGCCCGGUGCUGGAAGGUUAAGAGGAGUGCUUAGCUUCGGCGAAGGUACGAAUUGAAGCCCCAGUAAACGGCGGCCGUAACUAUAACGGUCCUAAGGUAGCGAAAUUCCUUGUCGGGUAAGUUCCGACCCGCACGAAAGGCGCAACGAUCUGGGCACUGUCUCAACGAGAGACUCGGUGAAAUUAUAGUACCUGUGAAGAUGCAGGUUACCCGCGACAGGACGGAAAGACCCCGUGGAGCUUUACUGCAACCUGAUAUGGAAUGUUUGUACCGCUUGUACAGGAUAGGUAGGAGCCGAAGAGACGUGUGCGCUAGCAUACGAGGAGGCAAUGGUGGGAUACUACCCUGGCUGUAUGACCAUUCUAACCCGCCACGCUUAGCGCGUGGGGAGACAGUGUCAGGUGGGCAGUUUGACUGGGGCGGUCGCCUCCUAAAGAGUAACGGAGGCGCCCAAAGGUUCCCUCAGAAUGGAUGGAAAUCAUUCGCAGAGUGUAAAGGCACAAGGGAGCUUGACUGCGAGACUGACAAGUCGAGCAGGGACGAAAGUCGGGCUUAGUGAUCCGGUGGUUCCGCAUGGAAGGGCCAUCGCUCAACGGAUAAAAGCUACCCCGGGGAUAACAGGCUUAUCUCCCCCAAGAGUCCACAUCGACGGGGAGGUUUGGCACCUCGAUGUCGGCUCGUCGCAUCCUGGGGCUGUAGUCGGUCCCAAGGGUUGGGCUGUUCGCCCAUUAAAGCGGCACGCGAGCUGGGUUCAGAACGUCGUGAGACAGUUCGGUCCCUAUCCGUCGCGGGCGC
rnacentral:rRNA from 1 species